UACGUACCGUCCAAACGUUAUUCGGAAUUACUGGGCUUAAAGGGCACGUAGGCGGCGCUGUCAGUCGGGUGUGAAAUCCCUCGGCUCAACCGAGGAAUUGCGCCCGAUACUGCAGUGCUUGAGGGAGACAGAGGUAAGCGGAACUGAUGGUGGAGCGGUGAAAUGCGUUGAUAUCAUCAGGAACACCAGUGGCGAAAGCGGCUUACUGGGUCGCUUCUGACGCUGAGGUACGAAAGCUAGGGGAGCGAAGGGG
rnacentral:rRNA from 1 species